rnacentral:snRNA from 1 species
GGAUGUGAGGGCGAUCUGGCUGCGACAUCUGUCACCCCAUUGAUCUCCAGGGUUGAUUUGGCUGAUCUGGCUAGCUAGGUGGGUGUCCCCCUCCUCCCUCGCUGAUCCAUGUGCGUCCCUCCCGAAGCUGCGCACUCUGUUGAAGAGAGGACGACCUCCCCCCCAUGCUCCACCCGCAGCCUUCCCGAGGAGAGGACCGGUCUUUGGUCAAGGGUAUACGAGGAGCUGCGCACCCCUGCUAGAACCUCCAAACAAGCUCUCAAGAACAUGUAAGUAUAGCCCAUGGUCACAGACAACAACAUGGUU